UGGCUUCCCAGCGUUUUCAGAUUCGAAGAAAAUUUAGAAAAUAUUCAGCCAACAAGUCCAACGAGAGCGGAUACAAAUGAACGGCUUUAAAUAAUUAUGACAAAUGUUGAGCAAUGUAAUGACUUUUCAAUUAAGUUACGUUACACGUUAUGUUAGCUACACUAUCCUUACAUAGCAUAUCUUUACAGCAGUAUGUAUCGGUAUGUUAACUAGCUACCUAACGUUAGUUGGCUACUUAUACAUCAAACUUGCCAGUAUAGUAACUAUAUUCUAACUAAUUACCCAACGUUUAUUGAAUUGAUUAGAGAAGAGAAUAACUGAUGAAUUGAAUAACGUUCAACACCCGUUGAAUAUGGCCGGUGUCAGUAAAGAUCUGCAAAAAAGCUCAAAUUAAAUUGCUGCCAGCAGCACAGUUGGUCACCAACGCUCUGGAUAACAUGAAAACAGCCUAGCCAGCUCUGCUAGGGAAAGUAAAAUGAGUUUCCCGAGCCAGUGAGUUUGGGACAGACACCGCUGUCGGCUAUUUGUGGAAAGGAUAAGAAGUAAUCAGGAGAGAGAUGUGACUAUCGUGGAUCCUCUGGGGGGCCUCAGGAUGCUGACAGGGCAGAGAAGAGUCUACGUCAAAACACUUCAAGAAACACCAGCAUAGACCCACAGGGAAGAAAUCUCAUUGUUGCUCUGACUGUGGGAAAGGUUGCAAAUCUUCAUCAGAACUUAAAAUACACCAGAGUACACACACAGGAGAGAAACCUUAUAGCUGUGAUCAAUGUGGAAAGAAUUUUACCAAGUAAAGAAGCCUGAUAUCACAGAGAAAACACACAGGAGAGAAACAAGAGAAACCUCAUAGCUGUAAUCAAUGUGGGAAGAGAUACUCUGAUAAAAGAUCUCUGAUUAAACAUCAGAAAAUACAUGGAAUUGUUUCAUGAUAUCAAUUAAAUGUCACAAUGUAGAAUGUUUUAACAUUGUAGUAGGAGUAUUUUAAUGAUGUCACAAUGUAGAACCUUGUUCUAUUGAUUUCAGUUUGUUAUGGAUAUGAGCUUCAUCUGUAGAAACAUCUUUGUAAUUUGCUCUGUUCAUCUUUCCCUCGAUCCUGACUAGUCUCCCAGUCCCUGCCACUGAAAAACAUCCCCACAGCAUGAUGCUGCCACAACCAUGCUUCACUGUAGGGAUGGUGCCUGGUUUCCUCCAGACGUGAUGCUUUACAUUCAGGCCAAAGUGUUUCAUCUUGGUUUCAUCAGACCAAGGAAUCUUGUUUCUCAUGGUCUCAGAGUCCUCUUAGUGCCUUUUGGCGAACUCCAAGCGUGCUGUCAUGUGCCCUUUACUGAGGAGUGGUUUCCGUCUGGCCACUAUAUCAUAAAUGCCUGAUUGGCGGAGUGCUGUAUAGAUGGUUGUCCUUCUGGAAGGUUCUCCCAUCUCCACAGAGAAACUCUGGAGCUCUGUCAGAGUGACCAGUGGGUUCUUGGUCACAUCCUUCUCCCCUAACAGAUCUGUUUGAAGAGUCUUGGUGGUUCCUAACCUCUUCCAUUUAAGAAUGUUGGAGGCCACUGUGUUCUUGGGGACCUUCAAUACUGCAAAUGUUUUUGGUACCCCGUUUUUUUUGGGGGGGGGGGGGGUCCCCAGAUCUGUGCCUCUACAGAAUCCUGUCUCGGAGCUCUACGGACAAUUCCUUCGACCUCGUGGCUUGGUUUUUGUUCUGACAUGCACUGUUAACUGUGGGACCUUUUUAUAUAGCCAAAUCAAUGAAUUGAAUCUACCGCAGGUGGACUCCAAUCAAGUUGUAGAAACAUCUCAAGUAUGAUCAAUGGAAACAAGAUGCAGCUGAGCUCAAUUUCGAAUCUCAUAGCAAAGGGUCUGAAUACUUAUGUAAAUAAGGUAUUUCUGUUUUGUCAUUAUGGGGUAUUAUGUCAUUAUGGGGUAUGGUGAUGUCAUUGUGGGGUAUUGUGAUGUCAUUAUGGGGUAUGGUGUGUAGAUUAAUGAGGAACACUUAAUUUAAUCUGUUUUAGAAUAAGGGUGUAACAUAACAAAAUAUGGAGAAAGUCCAGGGGUCUGAAUACUUAUUAAAUGCUCUGAAUAUGCUGUUGGUUUACUGUUAGAAUAAGUUGUAUGACUACACCAAUACUGUUAAAGAGACUAUGCAGAGACCUAUAAAAUACAUGGCCAACCUUGCUGCUAGAGAUCUAGCUACUGGGUGUGCAGGUUUCUGUUCCAGCCCUGCACUAACACCUGACAUUGUGCUGAUUAUUUGGAUUAGCCACUAUUCAGUAAUGUCUUGUUUUGGAGUCAGAUGGAUGUCUAAAUCCACUGCCCAUUUCCACAGGUGUUCUUCAUGAUAUUAAAUAAAGUGGUGAUUCACAGAA